rnacentral:rRNA from 1 species
UUUUAGAGAUUUUUUUAUAAAUAUUUUUCUGCUCAUGUUUAUAAAUAGCUGCAGUAAUUUGACUGUGCAAAGGUAGCAUAAUCAUUUGUCUUUUAAUUAGAGACUAGUAUGAAUGGAAGAACAAAAGUUUUUUUGUCUAUUUUUUUUUUUUUAGAAUUUGUAUUUAUUGUGAAGAUACAGUAAUAUGUUAAAAAGACAAGAAGACCCUUUGAGCUUAACUUUUUAUUAUUUUUUUUUUGUUUAAUUGGGGUGAUUGAAGAAGAGUAUAGUUUAAAGAGCUUCUUUUGAUUUUUAAGAACCUUUUUUAAAGGAUUUUAGAAUAAGUUACCAAAGGGAUAACAGCGUAAUUUUUUUUAAAAGUUCUUAUUUAAAAAAAAGAUUUCGACCUCGAUGUUGACUUAUAAUUUCCUUUUAGUGCAGGUGCUAUUAAGGUAGGUCUGUUCGACCUUUAAAAUUUUAC